CCUACGGGAGGCAGCAGUGAGGAAUAUUGGUCAAUGGGCGGAAGCCUGAACCAGCCAAGUCGCGUGAGGGACUAAGGCCCUACGGGUCGUAAACCUCUUUUGCCGGGGCUCAGUGCCCAGCUCGCGAGCCGGGAGGGAGCGUACCCGGAGAACAAGCAUCGGCUAACUCCGUGCCAGCAGCCGCGGUAAUACGGAGGAUGCGAGCGUUAUCCGGAUUUAUUGGGUUUAAAGGGUGCGUAGGCGGGCUUUAAGGUCGGCGGUAAAAUGUAGGGGCUCAACCCGGCCGAGCCGUCGGAACCGGGGGCGUUGAGUGCAGGAGAAGUACGCGGAAUGCGUGGUGUAGCGGUGAAAUGCAUAGAUAUCACGCAGAACCCCGAUUGCGAAGGCAGCGUACCGGCCGGUCACUGACGCUGAGGCACGAAAGCGCGGGUAUCGAACAGGAUUAGAUACCCGGGUAGUC
rnacentral:rRNA from 1 species